AGGGGUAAGCUGGGGAGGGCUUCUGAGGUCCCUCUGAGUUGAUGCUGACUGUCCUAUCUGUCUUUGCACCCUCUUGUCAAAGAGAAUGUGGGUGGAUGACAGGGUGGGCGAAAGAGAGAAAGAUAGGAAAAGCCGAGAGCUGACAGCCUGUAAAAUUGCUUGAUAAGAAGUAUAUAGUUGUCAAACAGCAUGCAAAUUUUUGCAAACCCAGGUGUGGCCCUGGGGAGAAUCUCACAGAAUUGCCUCCUUUGGGGCUGGGGGUGGAGGGGCAUAAUGGAAUCAGCCUGGCAGUUUGAAGACCCAGAGCCCCCUCUAGUGGCUGACAUGUCCUUUGCUGAUUUUUCUUUUUUUCUAAACCGUGCCCCUGCACUGCUAUUAGCUGCUGCCUUCCUGGCCACUUGCCACCUGCGCCCAUACAGGCUCUCUGGGGAGAUUUCUGGAGUCUCAGGAAGGCACAGCCAGGGGCAUCCUUGUUUAAAAACCCUGUCUAUAGAGUCUGCACUGCUAGGCUGGGCUCAGAAAUCUGCAUUUAAAAAAAAACACUAUGAAACAGGCUUUAGUCAACUAAAUUUACACUCGACGCCAUAUAGGUAAAAACUAAGGGGUGGGAUGGAUGGCGUUCAGCAAAAUGUGGAAUACCGGCAGUGCUGACAAAAAAAAAAAAAAAA
rnacentral:lncRNA from 1 species